GGUCUCACUGCGUGGGAGGAACACAGAGCAAGGGGGUGCAGCACUGAGGGGUUCUGACACACUGACGGUGGCAGUGCCACACUGGGGAAAAGUGCCCCCGAAAGGGAGGUGUCUCACUGAGGAAGGGAGGGGUCUCCGAGGGACAGCGUUCUUUGAGGGGGGUGGGAUCUUGCGGAAGGACGGGCUUCCCUGCAGGUGGAGGCUUCUCUCUUAGAGUCUUUUGGGCAAAGUAGUAAGAGGGAGGUCCCGGCUGGGUGGUCACAGGGCGGAGGACCUGGACUCUCUUCUUUAUUGGGAGGCGGCAGGAUGAAGUGAGGAGGAGUCGGGGCUAAGCUGGGUAUGGGCCGGCCAAAGGCUUCCUAUAGCCCCGGGGUAUCACAACCUCCCGUGAAGGUAGAAGGUGUUAGGGAGGCCAGAGGUUCAAGGUGUCGGAGUCGAAGAGACCUGGGAAAUGGGCAGGCUGGGCCGGGGCGCAGGCCAGGAAGGUGGACAGGUUGCUAGGCUACCUCUGAUUGCGGCUGGGCCUGAGGGGCCUACCUUUCUGCCCCGUUGGUCCCUGGAGCCCAGGAAUCCGGCAGGUUUCUGAGCCCGACCCUCAACGGACAGUAACCCAGGGAGGAGAGGGGACUCCCUGGGCAGCUAAGCUUCGCAUGCGCACCAUCAGCCCUUAAUUCCCUCCCGUUAUUCAAGCUCAGGCCGGAGCUUAUUUGACCCGGGCGGCCCAGGGCAUCGC
rnacentral:lncRNA from 1 species